UAUUAAUGGCUAUAAAUGGAUACCUUGAUGUUAAAUUAAACGGACGUUUAAAAAACGAAAUUAUUAAAGUAAUUUUUCAAAUUGAGAGCUUAAUAAAUCCGUAACGGGAAACCGAUUCUAUUUUUGAAUUCUUUAGACAGGUAUAAUUGUUUAAAGUUCAAUAAGAGUGAAUUGAAACAUCUAAGUAACUCUUUAAAAAAUCAACCGAGAAUUCGUUAGUAGUGGUGAACAAAAGCGAUAACUAAGCCUAUUUAUUUUUUAAAUUUAAAUUGAAUUGUACCAAAGAAGGUGUAAGUCCUGUAAUCGUAAAUUAUAAAAAUAAUAGUUAAAUGAGUAAAACAACUUACGGGUUAUGUUGUUUUAAAAUGGGUGGACCAUCAUCCAAGCUUAAAUAAUAUUUAACAAUCGAUAGUGUAAUAAGUACCGUAAGGGAAAGGUGAAAAAGAGUUUUGCGAAGCUGAAAUUAGAACUUGAAAUUUAUAGUUAACAAACGCUCAAAGCUUGAAAGGUGAUGAAGGUUCCUUUUGCAUAAUGAGUCAACGAGUUUAUUAUUGUAGCGAGCUUAAUUUUUUAAUAAAAGUAGGCAUAGACAAAUCGUAUUUUUAACAAGUAUUUAUUUAAUAGAUAUAACGGUAAAAAAGUUACCUUAAUAAGACCCGAAACUGAGUGAUCUAACCAUGACCAGGUUGAAAAUUAGAGCUGUAAAGUUCAUUGGAGGACCGAACCUGUGUAUGUUGAAAAAUACUAGGAUGAGUUGUGGUUAGGGGUGAA
rnacentral:rRNA from 1 species